GUCUUUAAUUACCUUAACAAAAUUGGGUGCUUCUUUCUUCAUCCACGCUGUGGUUAGAAGGAGAGAGGCUGCCGAUUUUGCAAUCUGUGUGCAUGUGGGUCGCCUAGAUGAAUAUCUGCCAAAACAUAUUCCUUUCACCAUUCUUCUGGAGACAAAAGCUU